CCAUAUCAUGUUAAAAUGCUGUUUCUCGCCCGAUCACCGAAGUUAAGCAACGUCGAGCCUGGUCAAUACUUAGAUAGGUUACUGCUUGGGAAUAGUAGGCACUGUAAG